GACCUGAGCGCCCUACUCCUAGCGACCGUCGUCGCCUCCUAGAUCCUAUUCCACGGCGCCUCCGGUAACACAUCCGUGUCGCUGGCCGCCGACAUGCUUUUCCUCCUCCUGGUCGUGCUGUACGCAUGGUCCAGGGCCGCACGCCUCCUCAGCCACAAGGCUCCGCACGUGCAAUCAGCUCCGCACGGGCGGAUGAAAUCUCGCCUCCGCGGCUCCAAGGCUUGGCGCUCGGCGAGGGGGACGCGGUGAGGAGGACGGGGAUGGGGUGCCUGUUCGACUGCUUCCGCGCGGCCGGCGGCGAGCCACGCGCCGGCCGCGACCGCGCCCAGCUCGUCUCUUCGUCCGUCAUCCCCAGCCCCAAGGUUGGCGGCGAGAGGAGUGCGCCGCCGUCCAGGAACGCGCUGUCGGCCGUGUUCCUGCGCGAAGAUGAGGGAUCGCAGGCCACGAGCUCGGGGUCAGACCGGGACGCGGGGAGCAAGAGGGUGGAUCCGGAGCUCAUGCACGAGGAGGAAGGCAAGUUGUCGCACCUGGAGAACUUACCCAUCAGAGGGAGCAAUGAAGACUUUGUUAGGAUAGUACCGGAUGUGCUCCUACGUGUUGAACAAUGUUACGUAGUAGUGAGAUAAGGCAAAUUAUGUAGACAUUGUUAGGACAUUGUUAGGACAGUACCAGAUGUACCAAAUCUGCGUGUUGAACAAUUCAUGUGUAAUGAAAUUUUGUAUUCCCUAUGUACAUGUUGCUUUAAUGCCAGAUUGUGAAAAUUACUCAAUUGCC
rnacentral:rRNA from 1 species